rnacentral:rRNA from 1 species
CAUGCAAGUCGAGCGAGUCGGGGCAGCAAUGCCCUAGGCGAGCGGCGGACGGGUGAGUAACGCGUGAAUAACCUGCCCCCAAGUUGGGAACAACCGGUCUAACGGCCGGCUAAUGCCGGAUAUUGCGGGGCGCCGCAUGGCGCCCUGGCCAAAGAUUUAUCGCUUGGGGAUGGAUUCGCGUCCGAUUAGGCAGUUGGCGGGGUAACGGCCCACCAAACCUUCGAUCGGUAGCCGGCCUGAGAGGGCGAUCGGCCACAUUGGGACUGAGAUACGGCCCAGACUCCUACGGGAGGCAGCAGCAGGGAAUAUUGCGCAAUGGGCGGAAGCCUGACGCAGCGACGCCACGUGUGGGAUGACGCAUCUAGGUGUGUAAACCACUGUCGCGGGGGAAUAGCAUUCGGUUUCGGCCGUUUUGAAUGUACCCUGAGAGGAAGCGCCGGCAAACUUCGUGCCAGCAGCCGCGGUAAUACGAGGGGCGCGAGCGUUGUUCGGAAUCACUGGGCGUAAAGGGAGCGCAGGCUGCCCUUCAAGCCGGGCGUGCAAGUCCGCGGCCUAACCGCGGGAUUGCGCCCGGGACUGUUGGGCUUGGAUUUUUCAGAGGCUGGCGGAAUUCCCGGUGGAGCGGUGGAAUGCGUAGAUAUCGGGAAGAACACCGGAGGCGAAGGCGGCCAGCUGGGGAACAAUCGACGCUGCAGCUCGAAAGCGUGGGUAGCAAACAGGAUUAGAUACCCUGGUAGUCCACGCUGUAAACGAUGCGCGCUUGGCGCGCGGGGGUUUGAGCCCUUGCGUGCCGCAGCUAACGCGAUAAGCGCGCCGCCUGGGGAGUACGCCCGCAAGGGUGAAACUCAAAGGAAUUGACGGGGGCCCGCACAAGCGGUGGAGCAUGUGGUUUAAUUCGACGCAACGCGCAGAACCUUACCAGGGUUUGACAUGGGGAAGAACCGCCCAGAGAUGGGCGCGCCGUAGCAAUACGGCUUCCCGCACAGGUGCUGCAUGGCUGUCGUCAGCUCGUGUCGUGAGAUGUUGGGUUAAGUCCCGCAACGAGCGCAACCCGUGCCCUUGGUUGCUAAUUCAGCUCUCCAGGGGGACUGCCGG